ACGGGGAAGGAUGAGAAGCUUCGACUAAGGUUCGACUCGAGCGAAGCGAGAGAACGUUGCCGCAGGCAACGGCCCGAAGGGCGAGGCGCUUUAGCGCCGAGUAAUCCUUCCCCCACCACUG
rnacentral:sRNA from 2 species